rnacentral:piRNA from 1 species
AGCAAUGAUACAUAACAUAUCCUAUCCGAGA